UACAGAGGGUGCAAGCGUUGUUCGGAAUUAUUGGGCGUAAAGGGCGCGUAGGCGGUGCCACAAGUCACCUGUGAAAUCUCCGGGCUUAACUCGGAGACUGCAGGCGAAACUGUGGUGCUGGAGUGUGGGAGAGGUGCGUGGAAUUCCCGGUGUAGCGGUGAAAUGCGUAGAUAUCAGGAGGAACACCGGUGGUGUAGACGGCUUUCUGGACCGUAACUGACGCUGAGACACGAAAGCGUGGGUAGCAAACAGG
rnacentral:rRNA from 1 species